UACGUAGGGUGCGAGCGUUAAUCGGAAUUCUGGGCGUAAAGCGUGCGCAGGCGGCUAUUUAGCCUUGCUGUGAAAGCCCCGGGCUUAACCUGGGAACUGCAGUGAGGACUGGAUGGCUGGAGUGUGGCAGAGGGGGGUGGAAUUCCACGUGUAGCAGGUGAAAUGCGUAGAGAUGUGGAGGAACACCGAUGGCGAAGGCAGCCCCCUGGGCUAACACGUGACGCUCGAGGCACGAAAGCGUGGGGAGCAAACAGG
rnacentral:rRNA from 1 species